AUGAAUAUAACCUCAGAUAGUUGACCAGAUAACUGGAUGAGGGAUCUGCGUAAAGUAGUCAACCUCUGUAUUUGACCAGAUAACUGGAAGAGGGAUCCUUUUCAAUUAAGUGUUGUUUGUUGUUUUUAGAUGAAAGAUAAAAACUAGAGUUAACAAAGAACAACACAAGAGAUUUAUACUGGUUCACCCAAACAAGGGCUAGUCCAGUCCGACCAACUGUCGGAAUUCACUCGCCUAAAGGUUAUGGCAAAACCUUAGAGUAUCAAGGAAACUCUUAAGAACCUCUCUAAGCUUUAAGGCUACUUCGCUUAGGAACCAGUCUUUUACGGGUAGACUCACACCUUAGAGUAUCAAGGGCACUCUUAAGAACCUCUAACUUUUGCGGGUAAGUUAGUACCUUAGAGUAUCAAGGAACUCUUAAAAACCUCUCUAAGUUUUAAGGCUAUUUCGCUUAGGAACCAGUCUUUUACGGGUAGACUCACACCUUAGAGUAUCAAGACACUCUUAAGAACCUCUAACUUUUACGGGUAAGUUAGUACCUUAGAGUAUCAAUGAACUCUUAAAAACCUCUCUAAGCUUUAAGGCUGCUUCGCUUAGGAACCAGCCUUUUACGGGUAGACUCACACCUUAGAGUAUCAAGGGCACUCUUAAGAACCUCUAACUUUUAUGGGUAAGUUAGUACCUUAGAGUAUUAAGAAACUCUUAAAAACCUCUGAAAUCUUUCAAGGUAGACUCGACCUAAGAGUUUUCCCGGAAACUCUAUAAAACUAAACUAGAGCUUUAUGGCUGAGCUCAAAAACCUUCUCUCACACUUUGGUACUAUUGAGACAACCCUCUCAACCAAAGUGGACACACACAAGAGGUGAUUAGAGGAGUGGAAUAUGAAAGCAAACAACACUUCUUACUUGUAAAGAUGAACAAGAAGAUUAGAAGAAGAAGUUGGAGAGCUUUUGAAGCUUUGGAAAGCUAGGACACUUGAGCACUUGAAUGCUUGGAAGCUUGAAGGCAAAAACGUGUGGGCAAGUGUGGAGUGAAAGCUCUUGAGUUUGCUUGUAGUGUGGUGAGUGAAAAUGAGGGGAUUACCCUUCUAUUUAUAGCCUUGGCCACUUAAUGUCCACCCUUGGAUCUUCAAUGGAUGGCUCCUUGAUUUCUCAUAUAAAUCCAAGCUUUGUCUUUGAUCUUAUCUUGGAUAGUGCUUUUCUUGGAUAGAGUUUGUUGGAGAAUCUUAUCUUUGUAUAAAUUCAAACUUGAAUAGUGUUUUGUCCCCUUGGAAUAUUAUACCUUGAAUAAAGUGUCAAAAGAUAAUAAUAAUAUUCAAGGUAAAAAUGCAAUUAUUCCAAAUAAUAAUAUUCAAGGUGAAAAUGCAAUUAUUCCAAAUAAUAAUAUUCAAGGUGAAAAUGCAAUUCUCCCUAUUUGACUUUUAACUUUGACUUAAACCCUUAACUCAAAUGAUUAAUUAAUUAACUAGAGUUAGGUUUAAUAUCGAUUGACUUAUUUACCCCCUAUUGAUUAAUAGUGUAAUUAGGGUUUAAAUUGACAUGAUUAAAAU
rnacentral:lncRNA from 1 species